UGAGAGGGGAGCAAGGCGCAGAUACUGGGGGAGAGAAGGUGUCCGGUGCCGGUGUCUACGGGACUGGAGUAAUCAGCACUGGUUGGAGGUGGCAGCGGCGUGGUGACAGAGAAUGCAGAAAGCUCAUGUGUCGGGGAGCUGGAGCCGAACUUUGUUGAACUUUGACAGUUGCAUUGGAGUCCUGAGGAAGAAGGAGCACACAGGAGGAGCACUAGGAAGAGAGGUAUCAACAAAAAUGAGGUAAUCCAUAGAUUCCUAACUGGACUUGAUUUGCAGCUCUUGAUUAUGCAUUUUCCAUUCAAAUAAAAACCACAAUCCUGCGCACAAUGCCAUAUCGUCAGAGAAGAGAGAAAAGGAUUUGAGAAUCCCUAGUAAUAAUUGGCACACUAAAAAGCAGCCCACUGAUUGAUUCACCAAAGAUGAACCUCACCAAAAGUUCAAAAGACAGUAACACUUUACACAACAAUUUAUAGGACUCAAUUGGAAGGCGCUUCUUAACAAUAAAAAAUGCAAUUUUAGAACAUAAAAUACAUCCCUGUUGUGGAUGGAAAGGAUCUUCGUUGAACAAUGCAAGAGUCUUUUUUCCUUUAGCAGGUGUCUUCUCUCAAGGUGGUGUCAGCAUGUAAAAAGACAAUAAUACAUAUAUGUGUAGUAAAGUUUUUAAUCAAUAAACUACUACAGUCUU